UCCGGUUUAUCACCGGCAGUCUCCUUAGAGGGUCCAGCUUAACCUGCUGACAACUAAGGAUAAGGGUUGCGCUCGUUGCGGGACUUAACCCAACAUCUCACGACACGAGCUGACGACAACCAUGCACCACCUGUCUCCCUUGCCCCCGAAGGGGAGGACACAUCUCUGCAUCUGUCAAGGGGAUGUCAAACCUUGGUAAGGUUCUUCGCGUUGCUUCGAAUUAAACCACAUGCUCCGCUGCUUGUGCGGGUCCCCGUCAAUUCCUUUGAGUUUCAGUCUUGCGACCGUACUCCCCAGGCGGAGUGCUUAUUGUGUUUACGUCGGCACUGACUAUCGCUAGCCAACACCUAGCACUCAUCGUUUACAGCGUGGACUAC
rnacentral:misc_RNA from 1 species